UACGUAGGGUGCGAGCGUUGUCCGGAAUUAUUGGGCGUAAAGGGCUCGUAGGCGGUCUGUCACGUCGGGAGUGAAAACUCGGGGCUUAACCCCGAGCCUGCUUCCGAUACGGGCAGACUAGAGGUAUGCAGGGGAGAACGGAAUUCCUGGUGUAGCGGUGAAAUGCGCAGAUAUCAGGAGGAACACCGGUGGCGAAGGCGGGUCUCUGGGCCGAGUAACUGACGCUGAGGAGCGAAAGCGUGGGGAGCGAACAGG
rnacentral:rRNA from 1 species